rnacentral:rRNA from 1 species
GAAUUGCAGAAUUCAGUGGAAUCAUCGAAUCUUUGAACGCACCUUGCGCCCUUUGGCUAUUCCGAAGGGCAUGCCUGUUUUGAGUAUC